CAUCACUGAAUUAGAAACUCAGUUAGUCUGGCACUAAAGUACAAUGAGUUGCUUGCAAGUUUUCAUGGUGAUCUCAGGUCGGAGAGAUACUUAUACCCAUACCCUUUGUGAUCUACCCUUGAUAGCAGAAUGCUCCACAGUUGGUCAUGUUCAGUGAUGAUGUACUCUUACAUCUCACCUACGUGCCAUACCAGUGCUCCACACUAUUUGGUUACGAGGACAACCAACGCAUAUGGUACACA
rnacentral:lncRNA from 1 species